rnacentral:rRNA from 1 species
AAAUUGAAGAGUUUGAUCAUGGCUCAGAUUGAACGCUGGCGGCAGGCCUAACACAUGCAAGUCGAACGGUAACAGGAAACAGCUUGCUGUUUCGCUGACGAGUGGCGGACGGGUGAGUAAUGUCUGGGAAACUGCCUGAUGGAGGGGGAUAACUACUGGAAACGGUAGCUAAUACCGCAUAACGUCGCAAGACCAAAGAGGGGGACCUUCGGGCCUCUCGCCAUCGGAUGUGCCCAGAUGGGAUUAGCUAGUAGGUGGGGUAACGGCUCACCUAGGCGACGAUCCCUAGCUGGUCUGAGAGGAUGACCAGCCACACUGGAACUGAGACACGGUCCAGACUCCUACGGGAGGCAGCAGUGGGGAAUAUUGCACAAUGGGCGCAAGCCUGAUGCAGCCAUGCCGCGUGUAUGAAGAAGGCCUUCGGGUUGUAAAGUACUUUCAGCGGGGAGGAAGGGAGUAAAGUUAAUACCUUUGCUCAUUGACGUUACCCGCAGAAGAAGCACCGGCUAACUCCGUGCCAGCAGCCGCGGUAAUACGGAGGGUGCAAGCGUUAAUCGGAAUUACUGGGCGUAAAGCGCACGCAGGCGGUUUGUUAAGUCAGAUGUGAAAUCCCCGGGCUCAACCUGGGAACUGCAUCUGAUACUGGCAAGCUUGAGUCUCGUAGAGGGGGGUAGAAUUCCAGGUGUAGCGGUGAAAUGCGUAGAGAUCUGGAGGAAUACCGGUGGCGAAGGCGGCCCCCUGGACGAAGACUGACGCUCAGGUGCGAAAGCGUGGGGAGCAAACAGGAUUAGAUACCCUGGUAGUCCACGCCGUAAACGAUGUCGACUUGGAGGUUGUGCCCUUGAGGCGUGGCUUCCGGAGCUAACGCGUUAAGUCGACCGCCUGGGGAGUACGGCCGCAAGGUUAAAACUCAAAUGAAUUGACGGGGGCCCGCACAAGCGGUGGAGCAUGUGGUUUAAUUCGAUGCAACGCGAAGAACCUUACCUGGUCUUGACAUCCACAGAACUUUCCAGAGAUGGAUUGGUGCCUUCGGGAACUGUGAGACAGGUGCUGCAUGGCUGUCGUCAGCUCGUGUUGUGAAAUGUUGGGUUAAGUCCCGCAACGAGCGCAACCCUUAUCCUUUGUUGCCAGCGGUCCGGCCGGGAACUCAAAGGAGACUGCCAGUGAUAAACUGGAGGAAGGUGGGGAUGACGUCAAGUCAUCAUGGCCCUUACGACCAGGGCUACACACGUGCUACAAUGGCGCAUACAAAGAGAAGCGACCUCGCGAGAGCAAGCGGACCUCAUAAAGUGCGUCGUAGUCCGGAUUGGAGUCUGCAACUCGACUCCAUGAAGUCGGAAUCGCUAGUAAUCGUGGAUCAGAAUGCCACGGUGAAUACGUUCCCGGGCCUUGUACACACCGCCCGUCACACCAUGGGAGUGGGUUGCAAAAGAAGUAGGUAGCUUAACCUUCGGGAGGGCGCUUACCACUUUGUGAUUCAUGACUGGGGUGAAGUCGUAACAAGGUAACCGUAGGGGAACCUGCGGUUGGAUCACCUCCUUACCUUAAAGAAGC